UCCUGGCUCAGAUUGAACGCUGGCGGCAUGCUUUACACAUGCAAGUCGAACGGCAGCACGGGGGCAACCCUGGUGGCGAGUGGCGAACGGGUGAGUAAUAUAUCGGAACGUACCCGGAAAUGGGGGAUAACGCAGCGAAAGUUGCGCUAAUACCGCAUAUGCCCUGAGGGGAAAGCGGGGGAUCCGCAAGGACCUCGCGUUUUCGGAGCGGCCGAUAUCGGAUUAGCUAGUAGGUGGGGUAAAAGGCCUACCUAGGCGACGAUCCGUAGCUGGUCUGAGAGGACGACCAGCCACACUGGAACUGAGACACGGUCCAGACUCCUACGGGAGGCAGCAGUGGGGAAUUUUGGACAAUGGGCGAAAGCCUGAUCCAGCCAUGCCGCGUGAGUGAAGAAGGCCUUCGGGUUGUAAAGCUCUUUCAGCCGGAAAGAAAGCGCAUGGGUGAAUAACCUGUGUGGAUGACGGUACCGGAAGAAGAAGCACCGGCUAACUACGUGCCAGCAGCCGCGGUAAUACGUAG
rnacentral:rRNA from 1 species